rnacentral:rRNA from 1 species
AUUGAACGCUGGCGGCAGGCCUAACACAUGCAAGUCGAGCGGAUGAAGGGAGCUUGCUCCUGGAUUCAGCGGCGGACGGGUGAGUAAUGCCUAGGAAUCUGCCUGGUAGUGGGGGAUAACGUCCGGAAACGGGCGCUAAUACCGCAUACGUCCUGAGGGAGAAAGUGGGGGAUCUUCGGACCUCACGCUAUCAGAUGAGCCUAGGUCGGAUUAGCUAGUUGGUGGGGUAAAGGCCUACCAAGGCGACGAUCCGUAACUGGUCUGAGAGGAUGAUCAGUCACAGUGAAAGUGAGAACGGGCCCAGACUCCAAGGGGGGCAAGGAGGGGGAAAUUUGGGAAAAGGGGGGAAGGGCUAAUCAGGCAAGGGCGGGUGGGUGAAGAAGGUUUUGGGUUUGAAAAGCUUUUGAGGUUGGGGGAAGGGGAAGUAAUUAAAUGCCUGGCUGUUGAGACGUUCCAAAAAAAAAAAGCCCGGGAAAACUGUG